rnacentral:rRNA from 1 species
UGCGUAGGUGGCAAGCGUUAUCCGGAUUUAUUGGGCGUAAAGGGAACGCAGGCGGUCUUUUAAGUCUGAUGUGAAAGCCUUCGGCUUAACCGGAGUAGUGCAUUGGAAACUGGGAGACUUGAGUGCAGAAGAGGAGAGUGGAACUCCAUGUGUAGCGGUGAAAUGCGUAGAUAUAUGGAAGAACACCAGUGGCGAAAGCGGCUCUCUGGUCUGUAACUGACGCUGAGGUUCGAAAGCGUGGGUAGCGAACAGG